rnacentral:rRNA from 1 species
UGCGUAGGUGGGCAGGUAAGUCAGUGGUGAAAUCUUCGAGCUUAACUCGGAAACUGCCAUUGAUACUAUCUGUCUUGAAUAUCCUGGAGGUGAGCGGAAUAUGUCAUGUAGCGGUGAAAUGCUUAGAUAUGACAUAGAACACCAAUUGCGAAGGCAGCUCACUACGGGAUGAUUGACACUGAGGCACGAAAGCGUGGGAUCAAACA